rnacentral:snRNA from 1 species
UGAUGUGAGGACAAUCUGGCUGCAACAUCUGUCACCCCAUUGAUCACCAGGGUUGAUUCAGCUGAUCUGGCUGGCUAGAUGGGUGUGCUCUUCCUCCCUCACCACUCCAUGUGCGUCCCUCCCAAAGCUGAGCGCUCGCUCAAAGAGGACCACCUUCCCCGAUAGAGACGGUACCAUUCAUCAGUCAAGGGUAUACAGUAGCUGCGGUCCCCUGCUAGAAUCUCCAAACAAGCUCAAGGUCCAUUUGUAGAACGUAGGGUAGUCAAGCUUCCAAGACUGUAGUCUGUUUUUUUCUGGCCAGAGA